GACGAACGCUGGCGGCGUGCUUAACACAUGCAAGUCGAACGGAAAGGCCCUGUUCGGGGGGUGUGCGCGAGGGGAGAACGGGUGUGUAACACGAGAGUCACCCGCCCUAGACUGUGAGAAAACUACAGGAAACUGGGGCUAAUACCGGAUAGGAGCUCCUGCUGCAGGGGGGGGGGGGGAGAGUUUCGGGGGUGGGGGAGGGACGCGGGGCUUAUCAGCUUGUGGGGGGGGGAGUGGCUUCCCAAGGCUUUGCGGGGUAGCCGGCGUGAGAGGGAGACCGGCCCCAUUGGGCCUGGGAUCCGGCCCAGACUCCUCCGGGGGGCAGCAGUGGGAAAUAUUGCACAAUGGGCGGAAGCCUGAUGCAGAACCGCCUCGUCGGGGAUGCCGGCCUUCGGUUUUAAACCCGCUUUCGCCUGUGACGAGGCGUGUGUGACGGUAAUGGGUAAAGAAGCACCGGCUAACUACGUG
rnacentral:rRNA from 1 species